rnacentral:sRNA from 2 species
GGCCUCUUUCAGAAAUCUCGAUCUGAGGAAUGUAGAGGGCGGCCUGUGAUUGACAGAAAGAGGAAGUUUUUGGACACAGAUCUGGCUCACGAUUCUGAAGAGCUGUUUCAGGAUCUCAGUCAACUUCAAGAGGCUUGGUUAGCUGAAGGCAAGUUUCAUGGAUGUCCUAUUUUCCAUAUAAAACAUU